rnacentral:lncRNA from 1 species
AUCUGCAAAUAAUAGAGUAGAUUAUGACAUGUUUUUUCUUAUCACUUGUUUUGUUUUUGAACAUUGAGCAUUUAAUGUCAUGUAAUGCUUGCCAAGAAUAAUAAAGUGCUUUUUGAUUUCCUACCGUUGAGGUAACAUUUGACAUUUAAGCUUUUCUUCUAAAGAUGAUGGAAUCUUGCUUGAUGUAGUCCUCAUGUUCGUAUUUUUACAUUUUAUUGUACGCGUAUUUUAGCCUGCAAGGAGCAUGGGUUACUAUAAAUACCCAGCUCCUCACUUGUAUUUUGGACUUUUGAGAAUAAUGAGAACAAAAUUUUCUAAAUCAGAAAAAUAUUCUCUCUUGAAAGUCAUUGGCUAGAGAGUCCAAAGACCUCUAGCCUCCUUCCAAAGCACACUUCCUAUUUUUCAUUUCUCCAUUAAUUUCCACUGUGUUUCUCUCUCAUUUGCGUCAACCAUUACUCUACGCUACGCCACACAUCAUCAGCCACGUCUCCAUUUCCUUCUUCAGCACGCGUCAGAAGCUUCAGCGCUUCAGACAUUCCAUUCAUUCCUCAGAUUCACUCUCAGCGUCAUCUUCGUCGAGAGACAUUUCCUCUCUCGAGCUCGUCAUCUCCUCUUGUCCGCCAAACAUAGAUCCACCAUUGGUUCCCAUUUUCACCGGUAAAAUCUAUUUCUCCUCACAUAUCCACACCUUCCUCUUCCAACUUUGUGUUCCUAAACCCUAGUACCUCUGUUCCUAGGUUUUCCACCAUCUUCCACCGAUUGUUUUCCAUUUUCUUCCGAUUAAAAGCCUUUCCACUGAUCGUUAUUCAUUAUUCACCGC